rnacentral:rRNA from 1 species
UCCAGGUUAAUAUUCCUGGGCCAGGAGGAAGUGACGGAUCGUAGCUGUUGUCUGGUCUUAUCGGAUUGAUCAGGCUUCGAAGCGGUCCCUGGAAAUAGCCCUCCAUGAGAUCGUACCCUAAACCGACACAGGUGGAUUGGUAGAGCAUACCAAGGCGCUUGAGAGAACUACGUUGAAGGAACUCGGCAAAAUGCCUCCGUAACUUCGGGAGAAGGAGGCCCCGUUGGUGGGCAACCACUGGCGGGGGGCACAAACUAGGGGGUGGCGACUGUUUACUAAAAACACAGGACUCUGCGAAGCCCAAAGGCGACGUAUAGGGUCUGACGCCUGCCCGGUGCCGGAAGGUUAAAAGGAGGAGUGCAAGCUCUGAAUUGAAGCCCCGGUAAACGGCGGCCGUAACAAUAACGGUCCUAAGAUAGCGAAAUUCCUUGUCGGGUAAGUUCCGACCUGCACGAAUGGCGUAACGACUUCCCCGCUGUCUCCAACGUAGACUCAGCGAAAUUGAAUUCCCCGUGAAGAUGCGGGGUUCCCGCGGUCAGACGGAAAGACCCCGUGCACCUUUACUACAGCUUCACACUGGCAUCAGGUCAGGCAUGUGCAGGAUAGGUGGUAGGCUUUGAAGCGGGGACGCCAGUUCCCGGGGAGCCUCCCUUGAGAUACCACCCUUGCCUUGCCUGAUGUCUAACCGCGGACCGUUAUCCGGUUCCGGGACCCUGUGUGGCGGGUAGUUUGACUGGGGCGGUCGCCUCCCAAAGAGUAACGGAGGCGCGCGAUGGUGGGCUCAGGUUGGUCGGAAAUCAACCGUCGAGUGCAAUGGCAUAAGCCCGCCUGACUGCGAGACUGACAAGUCGAGCAGAGACGAAAGUCGGCCAUAGUGAUCCGGUGGUCCCGCGUGGAAGGGCCAUCGCUCAACGGAUAAAAGGUACGCCGGGGAUAACAGGCUGAUACUGCCCAAGAGUCCAUAUCGACGGCAGUGUUUGGCACCUCGAUGUCGGCUCAUCACAUCCUGGGGCUGGAGAAGGUCCCAAGGGUACGGCUGUUCGCCGUUUAAAGUGGUACGUGAGCUGGGUUUAGAACGUCGUGAGACAGUUCGGUCCCUAUCUGCCGUGGGUGUCGGAGACUUGAGAGGAGUUGCCCCUAGUACGAGAGGACCGGGGUGAACGCACCACUGGUGGACCUGUUGUCGUGCCAACGGCAGUGCAGGGUAGCUAUGUGCGGACAGGAUAACCGCUGAAGGCAUCUAAGCGGGAAGCCCCCCUCAAAACCAGGUCUCCCUUGAGGGCCGUGGAAGACCACCACGUCGAUAGGCCGGAGGUAUAAGUGCAGCAAUGCAUUCAGCUGACCGGUACUAAUCGCCCU